CGGAUUUUCAAGAGCGAUUGUGUUUCUUCCUCUUGCUUAGCUUUACCACAGUGUGCUUCGCUCGCCAAUUCCCAUUGGAGAAUGAGAAGACUUUGUUCCCCGACUACGAUCCACCACAUAAUCAUAAUCGACCCCCUCCUCCAUUGGAUGUGUCUACUUCACUUUCGAAUAAUGAGAAAACUUUGUUCCCUGACUAUGACCCUCCACAUAACCAUAAUCAGCCUCCUCCACCAUUGGACGUGUCCACUACUUCACAUUCAAGUAAUGAAUAGGAGGGCUACAAUCCUCUUCGUUCCAGAAUGAGUGGCAACGUUUGCAAGACAAGACUUUAAAUUUUCGUGAU